GACGAACGCUGGCGGCGUGCCUAAUACAUGCAAGUUGAGCGCUGAAGGUUGGUACUUGUACCGACUGGAUGAGCAGCGAACGGGUGAGUAACGCGUGGGGAAUCUGCCUUUGAGCGGGGGACAACAUUUGGAAACGAAUGCUAAUACCGCAUAAAAACUUUAAACACAAGUUUUAAGCUUGAAAGAUGCAAUUGCAUCACUCAAAGAUGAUCCCGCGUUGUAUUAGCUAGUUGGUGAGGUAAAGGCUCACCAAGGCGAUGAUACAUAGCCGACCUGAGAGGGUGAUCGGCCACAUUGGGACUGAGACACGGCCCAAACUCCUACGGGAGGCAGCAGUAGGGAAUCUUCGGCAAUGGACGAAAGUCUGACCGAGCAACGCCGCGUGAGUGAAGAAGGUUUUCGGACCGUAAAACUCUGUUGGUAGAGAAGAACGUUGGUGAGAGUGGAAAGCUCAUCAAGUGACGGUAACUACCCAGAAAGGGACGGCUAACUACGUG
rnacentral:rRNA from 1 species